CGAAAGUCUGAUGGAGCAAUACCAUGUGAACGAUGAAGGCCUUUUUGGUUGUAAAGUUCUUUUACGAGGGAUAAUUAUGAUAGUACUUCGUGAAUAAGUGACAGCAAACUAUGUGCCAGCAGCUGCGGUAAUACAUAGGUCGCGAGCAUUAUUCGGAUUUAUUGGGCGUAAAGCAAGCGCAGGCGGAUGUGUAAGUUCUGUGUUAAAUGCAGCUACUCAAUAGUUGUAUGCACCGAAUACUACAUGUCUAGAUUGUGGUAGGGAGUUUCGGAAUUAAGCAUGGAGCGGUGGAAUGUGUAGAUAUGCUUAAGAACACCAGAGGCGAAGGCGGAAACUUAGGCCAUAAAUGACGCUUAGGCUUGAAAGUGUGGGGAGCAAAUGGGAUUAGAUACCCCAGUAGUCCACACCGUAAACGAUGGGUAUUAGAUAUUAGGGCUUUAGCUUUAGUGUUGUAGCUUACGCGUUAAAUACCCCGCCUGGGUAGUACAUAUGCAAAUAUGAAACUCAAAGGAAUUGACGGGGACCUGAACAAGUGGUGGAGCAUGUUGCUUAAUUCGAUAAUACACGAAAAACCUUACCAAGGUUUGACAUCCCUCGCAAAGCUAUAGAAAUAUAGUGGAGGUUAUCGAGGUGACAGGUGGUGCAUGGCUGUCGUCAGCUCGUGUCUUGAGAUGUUUGGUUAAGUCCCGCAACGAGCGCAACCCCACUCUUUAGUUACUUUUCUAAAGAGACUGCACAGUAAUGUAGAGGAAGGAUGGGAUCACGUCAAGUCAUCAUGCCCCUUAUGCCUUGGGCUGCAAACGUGCUACAAUGGCGAACACAAUGUGUUGCAAACCAGCGAUGGUAAGCUAAUCACCAAAUUUCGUCUCAGUUCGGAUAGGAGGCUGCAAUUCGCCUCCUUGAAGUUGGAAUCACUAGU
rnacentral:rRNA from 1 species